rnacentral:rRNA from 1 species
CUACCGGGGUAUCUAAUCCUGUUUGCUCCCCACGCUUUCGCACCUCAGCGUCAAUACUUGUCCAGUCAGUCGCCUUCGCCACUGGUGUUCUUCCGAAUAUCUACGAAUUUCACCUCUACACUCGGAAUUCCACUGACCUCUCCAAGAUUCUAGUCCGCUAGUUUCAAAGGCAGUUCCGGGGUUGAGCCCCGGGCUUUCACCUCUGACUUGAUGGACCGCCUACGCGCGCUUUACGCCCAGUAAUUCCGAACAACGCUAGCUCCCUCCGUAUUACCGCGGCUGCUGGCAC